UGUCUCAUGCACAAGCCCCAGGCUGGUGUGGAGGGCACAGAAGCCAUGCAUCUGCGGAAGUCCCUCCGCCAGAGCCCAGGCAGCCUGAAGGCCAUCCUGAAGACAAUGGAGGAGAAGCAGAUCCCGGAUGUGGAAACCUUCGGGAAUCUUCUGCCCUUGAUGCUCCAGAUCGACCCCUCAGAUCGAAUAACGAUAAAGUGAGCUCAGGGUCGGGGUUUAUUUUAACCUAUGGAUUUAUCUUUCAACAUUUUUCCACCUAAUACAAGCACAGCUAGUUGGCUUUGUAACACCUCAAAGAACUCCAUCACAGAUGCCCUGAUUAUCCCUGCACAGCUGGGCUUUUCCCAGUUCUGGCUCUCCCAAACCGUGCUGCGGUGAGUAAUCCCGGAUGUACGCUGGAGUGAGCAGACUGACCCCCAGGAGGCACAGGAGGCGUAGUGCCCAGGACCCACGACACUUUUAGGGUUCCAGAAAAAAGUUUUCAUUCUACGUUAAAAGAAAAAAUUCCUAAAGACAA
rnacentral:sRNA from 1 species